rnacentral:misc_RNA from 1 species
GAUGAAGAACGUAGCGAAAUGCGAUAAUUAAUGUGAAUUGCAGAAUUCCGUGAAUCAUCGAGUCUUUGAACGCACAUUGCGCCUCAUGGCAUUCCGUGAGGCAUGCCCAUCUCAGCGUUAGAAAAUAUUCUCAAAUUUUAGUUUUGUGCUAAAAUUUGGAUCAUGUCAAAGAAGCUAUUACUAUUAUUGUGAUCGCUCUUUGGAAAUUGAUAGGUCUUUGAGUUGCUACUCAUAGAACGUGAUGAAUCUUUCUUCGUUCUAUUGUAAUUCACUCUGGUAGUCCUAAAACUUGUAUGCCUGUGGUAUAUCUUGUAAUUUGACCUGAGAUUGGGUAGGGAUACCCGCUGAACUUAAGCAUAUCAAUAAGCGGAGG